AAAUUGUAGUUUUAUUCAAUAUUUAUCGAGUGAAUUGUUUUCUAAUGGAUCUUCCUAGUUACAAAUUUUCUCUAGUCCAUUACCUGGGUGAUUUUGUUUUGAUCUUUAUUUAAGUAGAACAAUAUCUUCAUCAAUUUAAGCUUGAACUCUUUAAUUUAUUCUGUUGGGUUGUGCCAGUUGAUGCUCCCUUUAGUGUAGCGUUUCACUUUAAACUAAUAACAUUUUAAAAAUUGUAUUAUUUCACUUUGCUUUGAAGCAGGUGGUUGGUGUUUGUUGGAGCAGUCUCUGGUAAAGCAAUCUAAUGUGCUUGCUGUUCUCAGCUUUUCAUGGUGCUGACAUUUUGGCAUGGUUUCACUUGAUUUGUGUCUGCUCAGUGUUUGUGUGUAUUUUAUUGAUAAGUAUUUUUGGGUUGAUAUUCAGAGAAAACCAAAAAUGUUGAGAACAUAGAAGACCAUGUCCUGCCAAAGAAAUCUGUCAUUCUGUCCUCCAACCCACUAAAUGUGGUAUGGUAUCACGUCAGAUUUGUUAAGUUUGCAUUCCCUUCUUGCAUCCUAAGAAAGGUUACCAUUUUAUUGAAACAUAGGCAUGCUUUAUUUUACCUAACUUCCGUUCUUGCCUCUUAGCAUGUGUUCAGGCAUGUUUAUUGUUCAUAUUGUUAGUGGUUUAUUUCUUACAUUCAUAGCAUUUUCCACUUCGGAAUGAAAAGCAUGCAACCAAUUUCCAUUUUCCAGCUCCAGACAGGUAUCAGUAUGCCUUGCAUAAGGUAGCUUAUGUCCUCCGGCCGCCAGGUGGCGCGAGCGUCGCGUCAAAACUCGGGACAUUUUCACAUUUUCCAGCCAACUGAAAAUGUCUUCCAAAUUCAUCAUGGUCAUAAAAACUAAUUGGCAAUGCGUAAUCCAUCCUCCUGUAAUUUCCUUUUGGCGAAAUAAUCUGAUCACGUGGGCCAAAACUGCUGUCCAUUUUGCCGAAUGCCGUCUAGGCGUCUAUUGUUACCUGUACCUGCUGUACGAGUUUGCUGUACGUCUCGUCCCGUGAAGAAGCACUUCAGACCAAUUUAAUUUAUGUUCAGGUCUCAGACUGCUUUGCUGAUAUAUUGCAGAAAUCGAGAACACAGCCAAGUCAGAGCUACAUUGAUGUUGUGGGACCACUUGCUACUAAAUUACUUCUUGCCUAAACAUGUAAUAAAAAAAAAAACCGUAGUUUUUUCAGAGUACUUGACUUGAAAUUGUGUCUCAUGUUGCCAAAAAUAUGUCUUCUCCUGCUCUACAUAGCAUCCUAUGAACAGAUAACAGCAUAGUGGACAAGGUUUCGAUAGCCAUUUGACGUUGACGGUGUCAAUGGAGAUGCUGAAUUUCACAAUUCAACUCUGCCAAACAAUUUUUCACAUGGCCUGAAUCUGAAGAUUAAUUUAAGUUGAUUUUGUUUCUAGAUUAUGCUCCCAUAGCUGCUGUCUAAUUUGAUACGUUGUUGCAGCCAUAUGCUGGUAAAAGACUUUUUGCAUAAAGUUCAACUGUGAUUGUACCUUGAUGAUGGUUUCAUGUUGCGGAAGUUUUAAACAGUAUGUUAAAUUGUCCUUUUGCCAAAUAAUAAACAAAUCAUCGCGAUCGGGAAAGCAACGAGGAGGUGGGAGGGAGACUUAAAUAUUUAAAAGAAAUGUUGAGGUGUUUUGUCGAAGAAAUUGACUCGGUAAUUAUAAAUAUCUUCAACUUUA